rnacentral:rRNA from 1 species
UACGGAGGGGGCGAGCGUUAUUCGGAAUUAUUGGGCGUAAAGGGCGCGUAGGCGGCCUUGUAAGUCAAAGGUGAAAUCCCUCGGCUCAACUGAGGAACUGCCUUUGAAACUGCAAGGCUUGAGGCCGUGAGGGGGUAGCGGAAUUCCCAAUGUAGCGGUGAAAUGCGUAGAUAUUGGGAGGAACACCAGUGGCGAAGGCGGCUACCUGGACCGGUUCUGACGCUGAGGAGCGAAAGCGUGGGGAGCAAACAGG